CACGUAGGGCGCAAGCGUUGUCCGGAAUUAUUGGGCGUAAAGCGCUCGUAGGCGGGACUGGAAGUCCGUGUUGAAAGACCUCGGCUCAACUGAGGGACCGGCUCGGAUACUCUAGUUCUUGAGGCAAUCAGAGGGUGAUGGAAUUCCCGGUGUAGCGGUGAAAUGCGUAGAUAUCAGGAGGAACACCUGUGGCGAAAGCGGCUCACUGGACCACAACUGACGCUGAUGCACGAAAGCUAGGGGAGCAAACAGG
rnacentral:rRNA from 1 species